UAAUACGUAGGGUGCAAGCGUUAUCCGGAAUUAUUGGGCGUAAAGAGCUCGUAGGCGGUUUGUCGCGUCUGCUGUGAAAACUGGAGGCUCAACCUCCAGCCUGCAGUGGGUACGGGCAGACUAGAGUGCGGUAGGGGAGAUUGGAAUUCCUGGUGUAGCGGUGGAAUGCGCAGAUAUCAGGAGGAACACCGAUGGCGAAGGCAGAUCUCUGGGCCGUAACUGACGCUGAGGAGCGAAAGCAUGGGGAGCGAACAGGAUUAGAUACCCUGGUAGUCCAUGCCGUAAACGUUGGGAACUAGAUGUAGGGACCAUUCCACGGUUUCUGUGUCGCAGCUAACGCAUUAAGUUCCCCGCCUGGGGAGUACGGCCGCAAGGCUA
rnacentral:rRNA from 1 species